rnacentral:lncRNA from 1 species
UCUGUCGAUGGUUUACAUGCAUGAUUUUUCUCUCUUGGUCAGACAGAUUGAACCGAUAUUUUCUUCCAACUGUUUCUAUCCUAGUGUUCAAAUCUUGGUGGCACAUGUUAAUUCUAUUUGUGCUUGGUCAGAUCAUGAGUCUUUUGGUGUUAAAAAGCAGUGCAUAUAUUUUUGCUGGAUGGACUGCAACUAUUUUUUCCUUUACAAUAUGCUACUCACUCCAUUCAUAAAUACUAUAAGAUGUUCUAACUUUUUUCUGAAGCGGAUGUAUAUAGACACAUUUUAGUGUGUUUGUUGAUUUGUUCACUCAUUUCAGUCUGUAUGUAGUCAUAUUGAAAUAUCUAAAACAUUUAAUAUUUGUGAACGGAAGGAGUAGCUGUUAUUGCAUCUGAGAAUUCUUCUAGACAUUCUGUGAUGAUGCUGUGCUGAAUCGUGCAAAAAUAUUUGGUGAUGAAUUUCCAUUUUAGGCCAUCUUGGGAUGGACCAGGCAUUUUAUUUGGCAAAUUGUGAUGAUUUAUUGAGUAAUAAUGACAAAUCAAAUUUAAUCAAGUGCAUUUCAUGUUAGAUUAGUG